CUGGGAUUUAUUUAUAUACUUGAUUUAGGG
rnacentral:piRNA from 1 species